AACGCGAAGAACCUUACCUACCCUUGACAUGUACGGAAGCCACGAGAGAUCGAGGUGUGCUCGAAAGAGAACCGUAACACAGGUGCUGCAUGGCUGUCGUCAGCUCGUGUCGUGAGAUGUUGGGUUAAGUCCCGCAACGAGCGCAACCCUUGUCAUUAGUUGCUACGAAAGGGCACUCUAAUGAGUCUGCCGGUGACAAACCGGAGGAAGGUGGGGAUGACGUCAAGUCCUCAUGGCCCUUAUGGGUAGGGCUUCACACGUCAUACAAUGGUACAUACAGAGCGCCGCCAACCCGCGAGGGGGAGCUAAUCGCAGAAAGUGUAUCGUAGUCCGGAUUGUAGUCUGCAACUCGACUGCAUGAAGUUGGAAUCGCUAGUAAUCGCGGAUCAGCAUGUCGCGGUGAAUACGUUCCCGGGUC
rnacentral:rRNA from 1 species